UAGAGGAGACAGCGGGCCAAUAGAAGGCCACCCAGCUUUUAUAUCCUGUCUGGAUAAUCAACCUAGCAGCUUGACACACACACUCGCACACACACACACACACACACACGGACGCACAUAAAACAUUGUGACCUAUGGACGCUUUGCACAGGUCACUGCUGAGAUGACAGAGGAAACAAAUCUUAUCAACAAGCAAUAUUGGCCGCCAAAUUGCUUCCUUUGGACCAGUUGAUUUGGCCUACAGAUGACAUACCUGUAUGUUGGGGUGCAUCAAAAACACAAUUAUUGAAUUUUGAUAUGGCUGGGUACUAAAAGUGUUCCAAUAUAUGUCGAAACAACACAUACAAAAUAUUUUUUCAAUACAUGAUUAUUUAGGGGUGUUUUUGUGGAAUAAAGUGGUGAACAGUUCAAUGGUCGCCAUGGAGAUUUGAGGUCGGCAAAGACUGCAGCUCAAGAACUCUCAGUCUAAACAAGUGUGUUAUCUUGGCCCUCAUUAGAUAAUGGAUGACAACAGGUCACAUGACCCGCCCUAACAAGGUUGCUGAGAGCGACAUCUUAAUGGCGCCUUAUAGCACCGCUCACGGAAACGACGCACGUAUUAGAGAGAACAACCGUGAGGACUUCUGGAUGCGAUGCAGAGAAGAUGAUGAAUGAUGAAUGUUUCCAAUUCAUAAAGUUCCAGUGAAGACACUUUAUGUUCUUGUUGACGUGAUACAAAAAAACCUAAAAGUCUUGAAGAUUUACAGUACGUGAAACUCUAAACGCUCGUAAAACAAUAAGAGCUGACACAUUUCUGAUGCGCUGUAAAAAACAUUUCAUAAUCACUUCAUCGAUACUAUUCACUUCUAAUAUCAUACAGAAUAUGAUUAUUAUUAUUAUUAUUGAU